ensembl:lncRNA MIR99AHG mir-99a-let-7c cluster host gene
GGCACUAGUAGCUCAGGCUAGCAAGGAAGGAAAAAAGAGGAAGUUUCUCUCUGCGUUCUGAUUACACUCUGAAUUCCCUUGUAGUGAGCUUACUUCUCUCCACCCACUUCUUACCAAGAACUCCUUAACUUGAGGGUGAACAACUUAAAGCUUGAUCCUACAGUUACCUGAAAAGUGAUUUGAGUAUUCAUUGAACUGAAAGAACAAAUCGCCUACUUCAGGCGGUGGCAAGCGUAUGGAAAUUAUAUUAGAACUUCAGCAAAGUGCACAGCUGCAUAAUAGAGAAGCCGGCACUCAGAUUGACAGGCAAAUAAGCCAGCUUGUGGAAGGGGCCUCUGGGUGGCAGCUCUGGGCUUUUGGGUGUUGGACAACCAUAGGCAAAACUGAAAUGGAACAGGGGCAGAAAAUAGCACACUUUUACUCUACGCAACUGUUGCUUUUUCAUGAUCUUCAGGAAUUUUACUGGGAUAAUUAUCCAAAUAAAUUGCAAGCAUUCUAUCCAAAUGGAGCUCUUUCUGAGAUGAAGAGAAUUCUCAAUGUCAAGAUUUGAACAAGAAGAGAAUGGAAUACACAAUAUGGACAUCCAUAAAAAUUCAUCAGAGAGCAUUUUACUACUGAGCUGCAAAGGGAAAAACUUAAAAUGGAUAUGAAAAGUGAAGAAAGUGAUCAUAGGAGAAAACCAUUUCAGAUCAACCACCUCAGAAGAGCCAGAUUCCACUUCUGUGGCCAGGACUUUUACAUUAUGGCUGGUCCGAUUGUUUUACCCUGCGUUCUAUGCUACUAAACCUUGGAUCAUUCCUAAAGUGUCUGAUGAUUUGUGAGCCUCAAGUGACUACUCUGUGGAAUCAUCUGUCCUUGCCUUUGAAUUAGCUUUCCCUAGGCCAUGAGUCAACAUUAGUAGUUUAUACAUCCAAAUUGAUGACAAGAGCACCUCAAAGGCAGCAGCCUCAAGGAGCAGCCAUGGCCCCAGACUUGUCGCACGGAUGCAGAAAACUUAAUGGAGGAGGCUGAGGUCAGAAUGGGAAGAGUUUUUAAAAAAUAAAAAGGGGAGCUAAUAUGUGA